ensembl:lncRNA
UGCGUGUGUGUGUGUGUGUGUGUGUGUGUGUGUGUGUGUGUGAUUUUGGACUGAAUCAGUUUUAUGGCUUUCUUUAUUUAAAUCUUUAUAUUUAUCACUCUUUAUAGUGUUUUAUAUAUAUAUAUAUAUAUAUAUAUAUAUAUAUAGACAAUACAUUUUCUCCAAAACUAAAUAUUAACUAAGUAAAUUAUAAAAAACGAAACAAUAUAAAUAUUUGUAUAAUAAAUGCAUAAUAGACGCAUGUAUACAAAUCUUUUGACGCCUCGAUCUAUACGUCUGCAUCCGUUUUGCACGCUCGCCGUCCACUUUAUUAGGAACGCCUAUAGCUGCCGAUUCAUGCAGUUAUCCAAUCAGCCAAUCAUGUAGCAGCAGCGCAGUGCAUAAAUAAUCACGCAGAUCCAGGUCAAAGCUUCAGUUAACGUUCACAUCAAACAUCAGAAUGGAACCGUGGGAUGGUCGGGAUGGUGGUAUCAGACGGGCUGGUCUGAGUAUUUCAGAAACUGUUGAUCUCCUGGGAUGUUCACACGCAGCAGUCUGCAGAGGAAAAUGGCCAGGUUGAUUCGAGCUGCCAGGAAGGAUAUAGCAACUCAUAUAAUCGAUCUUUACCGCCGUGGUGAACAGAAAAGCAUCUCCGCGUGCACAGAACAUCAAACACUGAGGUGGAUGAGCUACAACAGCCGAAGAUCACAUUGGAUUCCACUCCUGUAGAAACGUUCCAAGUAGAAACGUUAUAAAAUUAACAAUCAAAGAAAUGAAUAUAUGGGUGUGUGUGUGUUUGUAUAGCCUCAGCGGUAUGUUGUUCAUACAAAUGCACUGCUUGGAAGCAAUUCAAAACAGCUUAUUCAAAGCUGCAGAGAAGACACACACACACACACACACACACACACACACACACACAUACAUAGAUGCAUUUCUGUGCAUCUGGAGGCGUGCAGAUUCGGACAAAAUUGGAAAGCGUCAAUUUAUCCCGAGCAUAAAGCCUGCACCAUUUCAGUGAAACAGCAGCAGCAGCAGGACGUCCCUCAUUUCACUAAUGGCUUUAAAUGUUUGCUAAAUUGUUUCCUUUUACACCAAAGACUAACACGAAACAGCGUCAAGCCAGUCGAGAGUGCAAUCCAACACGGCAACCUGUUAUUAGCCCUGGUGCUCAUACAAAUAAAUAAAUACAUACAUACAUACAAUCGUCGACUUCAUCAAACCCACCUCGUGAGAAACCGGUAUCCGUCACGUCACCUCACUGACGUCGCUGUGCUAUCCGGGAUACGUUUCGACUCGCUCGAUACCCGCCGUUACUUGUUAGCUCCAUAAACCUGGACAUCUGGACAGCGCUCCUAACGAAGCUCGACCACCAAACACGCCUGGAAAACACGUGUCGGUUUGAUUGAUUAUUUUUGCUGUAAUAACGACACCAUGAAAAAAAAAAAUCAGCAACAAAUAAACCACGCUAUGUCUCCUGGCUGGUUUUCAUCCUGGUCUGUUUUCUUUUGUUUUUUGGGGUUUUUUUUUGCGCAAAAGGAAACGUUUAAAAGGAUUAGUUAAAUAACAGACUUCCUGCUGUUGCUUCACCUUCAGCCAGAAAAAAAACAACACACACACACACACACACACACACACAAAAGCAGAAACACCUCGACAAAACUGAUUUAUAAGUCGUUCAGGAACAGUGUAAGCAUUUUUUCAAAUUUGUUUAUACCUUAUUAUAAAGUUACUCUUAUAAAGUGCACCGCUGUGUGAACUUCCUUCAUGAUUCGACAGCGUGAACCCGAACAGAAUUAUUAUACUGAUGUUCCUCACGCCGCUUGUCAUACUGUUGUUGUUUUUGAAGAGAUCAUUUCAAGCAGUAAUAUUUUAACGAGGACUAUUAUAUAGGAUUUUUAAUGGGACGUUUAUGACUUUAAAGUCGUGUGAGAGUAUGAAAGAGGACCCUUUAAAUAAAUGGGGGGGGGGGGGGGGGGGGGUGACAUAUUAAACAGAACAGAAAUAUUAAAAUAUCAACAAAAUAUAUCAAAUAGAACCUUUUUAAAUAAACAGAACAAAAAUAUUAAAAUAUUAGCAAAAUAUAUGAAAUAGAAGCCUUUUAAAUAGAUAGAAGAAAAUAUCA